rnacentral:lncRNA from 1 species
GCCAAACCAGCAAGAAGAGAGAGAAAACAAAAACAAAACCCUAGAGAGAGAAAAUCAAAGAAAAAGUGUGAAUUUUCAAGGAAAUUAAGUGAAAAAGGUGAGUUUUUUUUAUUAAGCUUGAGUUUUCUUAUUCCCAAGCAUUUCUCUUUAUUUUCCAUGAUUAAAUUACAUGUUUUCAUGAUGAAUUCAAUUCUGAAAAAAUGGGUUAGGAGAGAGAAAGUUGUUGGAUUUAUUUGAUUUUAAUUUAUGUUAGUGUUUUUAGUUAGUUUAGCAUAUUUAGAAACAAAACAACAAGAAAAGAAUUUAUUUUCUCCCCCAACCAUUAAUGGCUGAAUUUACCAUGUAGUGAGUGAGGAUGAGUUUGAUUUUAUUCUAGGAGAAUUGGUUAAGGAAUAAUGAAUUAUGAGCCUAGAAAAAUAAUGAGAAUUUUCGGAGCAAAAAUACGAAUUUUUACCCACUAGGGGUAUUUUCGUAAUUUGCUGUUGGGACUGAUAAUUUGCACCACACUGAGGGACAUUAAGUUAAUUUGGGUGCAAUUGAGGUAUAGAAACUGAAAAGAAUUAAAUUGGAGUUUAAACGGACCCGUUAGGAAUUUAAUCGGGUGAUAAGACGAAUUAGGCCAAUACCGGGUUUAGAUAGUUACCAGUGCAUUUUUGCAUUCCAUAUCAUGCAUUGGUAGUCUAAAUUAGUUUAAUUUUGAUUUAGUACCAACUUGGUGAAACUCUCGAUUUUGUACUGUGUCAAGGUGGUGAGUCCUCCGAUAAAGGCAAGGAAAUUGCAUCCGAGGACCAGUAGACAGAGUGCUUCGAAAGUCUGCAUUCUAGACAUUGUGAGUAAACUUACUGUCAUUUUAAUUAUCUAGGGUGGUUUUUAGAUGCUUUCAUGAAUUCUAUGGAAAAAGGAAUUUAAAAAGAUAAAUUUUCAUGUUUUAUGAAUAAAUGAGUUUCAAUGAAAUUAAAUUAUAAAUUGUUUUGAAAUUAAUAGUGAUUUUGAAAAAUAGAGUACACGGAGACUGUUAAUUGUGGCAAUUUGAUUGUUUAAAUUAACUGGCUUAUGAUAAAUCGAGCAUGAUUGGCUAGUUGGCAAUUGUAUUGAAAUGCGAAUUGUUUGGUUACCUUGAAAAACUACGAAUUACAAAAUUGCCAUAUCAUGUUAUUGAGUUUUAUUAUAUGGUGGAUUAUAUAUUAAUUAAUCACUGCAGUAGGGGGUUUCUGUGGACCAGCCUUUUAGAGGGGCACGGUAAACCCCAUUAUAUUCUUACCUCGAACGGAGAGGCGCGUAGGGUAUCUCCUGGGGUAAAGUUUAGGGUUCACUUCACGCUAAACCACCACGUGAGGGGGAACUCAGCCAACGCCAAGGAACGGCUAUGUUUUCAAAACAAAAACAUGAUUUAUGUGAAAUGUGAAUUUUAAUAGCCUUGGCGGUCUCGGUAGGAUGCCUCGGCCAAGGUGUCCCCGAGAAUGGAUUUAUGGCACAAGCCUAGAUUUUUAUGAGAUUCAUAAGCCUCUUUACGUGUUUUGAACAAAAUGUGUUCUAAUGCUAUAACCCAGUUUAUGAUGAUUUACUUUAUUGUCUCCAUGUACUCAACUCUAGAUGUUUAUGAUGAUGUUUGUUUACUCAUUGGGAUUUUAUAAUCUCACCACCCUCCUUUCCACCCAUUUCAGGUUCAGUAUAGACUGUAGAUAGCUGAUCUCAUCGAGGACUACAGUGGGAUCUGCAUUUUUCAAACCGUAGGUUCACAGUCCUCUUUACUUUUGUUUAUUCGGGAGCACUCUUGUUAUUGUAAAUUAAAUUAAAUAUUUUGGCUUACUGUAUUUAAGUAUGUAUAAAUUUAUUUAGCUUUUACGCUAUAUAAAUUAUUCACGUAUAACUCUAUAAAUAUUGUUUUAUAAGAAAAUAGAAUAUUUUACUUAAUAUUUCUUUUAUUUUCUUAUUAUAUUCAAAUAAUCAUAAUUUCGUUUUAAAUGAAGAUUUUAG